rnacentral:rRNA from 1 species
CAGCAGCCGCGGUAAUACGUAGGUCCCGAGCGUUAUCCGGAUUUAUUGGGCGUAAAGCGAGCGCAGGCGGUUAGAUAAGUCUGAAGUUAAAGGCUGUGGCUUAACCAUAGUACGCUUUGGAAACUGUUUAACUUGAGUGCAAGAGGGGAGAGUGGAAUUCCAUGUGUAGCGGUGAAAUGCGUUGAGAUCGGAAAGAACACCAACGGUGAAAGCACUCUGUUGUGCCGACACUGACACUGAGAGACGAAAGGUAGGGGAGCAAAUGGGAUUAGAUACCCGCGUAGUCCCUGUCUCUUAUACA